CUCUUGGAAAGCAAGAUUCAUUUAGGCAAGAAUUUUUUUUUCUUCUAGAAAGAGAUUAUACUAUGGAAAGGCAUAGGGAGAUUCCUAUUUUAAUAUAUGGGGGUCAGAAAAAUUGUAUUUGCAGGAUCUAGGGCAUGCGUUUCAAUCACCAGCCUAAAAGUUAAUGAAAGAGAGCACACCAUGGUACAGAUAUAGAAAAUACUCCAUUCCCAGAAAGUACAACUUGUUUGCAAGAUAAUUGGCUUCAUAUGUGAAAUGAAAAAAAUUGAAGCAUUUAUAGCAGACUUCAGUUUGGCAAGUCUGACAUGCUGUUUUUUGGGUUUGUACAAUCUCUAAUGUAAGAUCAGAUUGUGGUGGGCCUUGGAGACAUGGAACAGAGAUAAAAAAUACUUCUGAAAAUAGGAUUGAAUAUAACAGAAUAAGAAACUGAAAUUUUCCAGCCUGCAGAACAUACUCAGAUCAGAUUACAAGUUUUGAUUUCUCUUUUUUAGGUUCCUUGGUGCCAUAUAAGACUAGGUUUAAAAGCAAAAUAAAACCCAGGAAUAUUUGGAAGGAAAACAAAGGUGAACCUGCAAGAAGUUGGAAGAAAGAAUGUCAAGAGGACAGUGAUAACCACAGAACUGAGCACUCACCAGCAUUUGGCAGAGUUGCUCUCUCUGUAAAGAAAUAAAGCCGUUGCCACACAGCCUCAGUGACAGCACCAAAGGGAAAAAAGGCACAUGUCUAAGGAACUGCAUUAGUUUGUUGUAGAAAUUGCUCGAAAUAGUCACAUCCAUUGUCUGGAAUACUGUCUAGAAGCUUUGACACUCCAGGGACUUCACAAGUGAGUCAUUUCCUCAAACCUGCUUUCAAUGACAGCUCAGAGACUCUCUGAAUUGCAGCAAAAUCCGCCUAGCAACUCCUGGUCUCUGGGAUAUUUUUCAGGAGAUCUUGGCUCCCAGGAAUCAACCAAUGUUCACUGCUGGGACAGCACUCUGGUCUGAAUCAGCACAGCUCUUCUUCAUAAACUUUGGAGUAAUGAGAAAAGCCUACAAAGCAUUGUUUUUCUAAAGCAAAGAUAUGGAUGCUUACAAGCUAAGCACAUGGGGACUCUUGUGCUUCUCAGCACACAUACAGAUCUCAGAAUGACCCUAUUGCCACAGUACAGAUCAUUGACACAUCACUGCAGCGGAAUCUCAUGAAGAA
rnacentral:lncRNA from 1 species